GUUUUUCUUCUUCCCUCCCCGCGUGCCCGACGCCAAAAACCUAACCGGAGGUGGUUUCUUUCCUCUCCUCUCGCGAUUAAAACCCAAGCCGAGCCCUUCCUCUCCUUCUUCUCUUUCCCGAGCCGCACCAGGAGCCGCCACCACCUAAGGCCGAACGGAGCGUCGCCGAUCCACCGCCGGCGCACUUGUGCCCUAGCACUCUUUGCCCCUUCUUUCCUUGCCGCGGAGAUCCUCAAAUCGCGCAGACCAUCGUCGAAGGUUCUUGUUCUCGUGCCCUAGUUUUGGGUUCACAGCCGUUGCCGCCGCACCUUUACCUCUCACGGCGACUGCAUCUCAUUGUUUCCCAUCGGCCGAUCUCCGACGCCAUUGCCGCCGGCCUACUCCACGAUGUGCCCUAGUAUGGAUCAACUGCUCUCUUCGUCAUUGUUGACCUAGGGUUCCGAUGGCCAGUAUUGAGACAUCGCCGCACUGCAUCCUUUGCCAGGAGUGCAUCGCAGCCAUCGGCGCUAGAACUCGUAGUGUUUCCUUGCUGGCACUCAUAAGCUGCAGCUUAUUGCGCUAGCCACAAGGAGGCAGCAUUAAAUUGAAUUCCAUCAGCAGUAGACACACCGGUGAUUUCCAGCUGUGGGUUACACUCUGAUCACGAGGCAUUAGUGGUUAUCAUCAGAUUUGGACGUUGAUUCGGGACGAGCACUUCGACAUAGAGGUUGAUUAGCUCGAUCUACAUUGGAG